rnacentral:rRNA from 1 species
AUUUCUGCUCAAUGAUGUGUUAAAUAGCCGCAGUACUCUGACUGUGCAAAGGUAGCAUAAUCAGUUGGCUCCUAAAUAGAGUCUGGAAUGAACGAAUAUAUGAAGAACAGCUGUCUUAAAGUAUUUAAAUGAAAUUGGUUGUAGGUGAAAAUCCCUACAUACUUCUAAAAGACGAGAAGACCCUAGAAACUUAUAUAAUUGUUUUGUUGGGGCGACAAAUUUACAUAAAAACUAAUUUUUAAUUAACAUGGCGAUUUCAGAUAGAUAAAGUUACUCUAGGGAUAACAGCAUAAUAUUUUUUUGUUUGUGACCUCGAUGUUGGACUAGGUAAAGUAUUCUUUAGAAGAGAAUAUAUAUGCUCUGUUCGAGCAGGAGAACCU